rnacentral:lncRNA from 1 species
GGGUGGUCAGUAGCAGGAAUAUCAUCAUCUAUCUUGAUUAGGUGGUCAUCAUAUCCUUGCCCUUAAAACCAUAGUUCAACAGAAGCCGCCCAUGACAUGUAAUUGGCAGCACCAGUCAAGCAGUCAGUGGUGAUAACCAAAAAACCUGAGAUAGCAAAAGAAAAGAUGCUGUUGGACUGAGAGGAAGUGGAGGAACAUCCACACUAUUCAUGACAUUUGGAUGGAAAGGAGCUCACAGCAACAAGAGAAAAAACAAAAAGAGCAAACCCAAGUUGUAAAGGUCGAAAAAGGAGGAUCUAACCUUAGAAAUGGGAAAAGCAGGAUCUGACUUUAGAAAUGGGUGUCGGAGGA